AUGCAUGUCUAAGCAUAAGCCGAUAAAUGGUGAAGCCGCGAAUAGCUCAUUACAACASCCAUAGUUUAUUGGAUCUUCUCUCUACUUGGAUACCUGUGGUAAUUCUAGAGCUAAUACACGCACGAAAGCCUCGACUUCGGRAGGGGCGCAUUUAUUAGAACAAAACCAAUCGGGCUUGCCCGUCKUUUGGUGAAUCUGAAUAACUCAGUUGAUCGCACAGUCCUCGAACUGGCGACGUAUCUUUCAAGUGUCUGCCUUAUCAACUUUCGAUGGUAGUUUACAUGACUACCAUGGUUGUAACGGGUAACGGAGAAUAAGGGUUCGACUCCGGAGAGGGAGCCUGAGAAACGGCUACCACAUCCAAGGAAGGCAGCAGGCGCGCAAAUUACCCACUCUCAGUACGAGGAGGUAGUGACGAAAAAUAACGAGACGGUUCUCUAUGAGGUCCGUCAUCGGAAUGGGUACAAUUUAAACCCUUUAACGAGGAUCUAUUGGAGGGCAAGUCUGGUGCCAGCAGCCGCGGUAAUUCCAGCUCCAAUAGCGUAUACUAAAGUUGUUGCGGUUAAAAAGCUCGUAGUUGGAUCUGCGGUCUCGCGUGCCGGUGAAUCCUCAGGAUUUUACUGGUUUCGCAGGCCUACCUCGCUGGUUUUCCCUUGGUCCUCUUUACUGAGUGCCUUGGGUGACCAGCAAGUUUACUUUGAAAAAAUUAGAGUGCUCAAAGCAGGCGCGUAGCCUGAAUAGUGGUGCAUGGAAUAAUGGAAUAGGACCUUGGUUCUAUUUUGUUGGUUUUCGGAACGCGAGGUAAUGAUUAAGAGGGACAGACGGGGGCAUUCGUAUUGCUGCGUUAGAGGUGAAAUUCUUGGAUCGCAGCAAGACGGACAACUGCGAAAGCAUUUGCCAAGAAUGUUUUC
rnacentral:rRNA from 1 species